rnacentral:tRNA from 1 species
UCGGGGAUCGUCUAAUGGUAGGACAGCAGGUUCUGGUCCUGCUUAUCAAGGUUCGAAUCCUUGUCCCCGAGCCA